rnacentral:rRNA from 1 species
UGGAGCGGCGAACGGGUGAGUAACACGUGGGCAACCUGCCCUCAGCUCUGGGAUAACUCCGGGAAACGGUGUCUAAUACCGGAUACGAGCUUCAGCCGCAUGGCUAGGAGCUGGAAAGAAUUUCGGUCCGGGAUGGACUCGCGGCCUAUCAGCUAGUUGGUGAGGUAAUGGCUCACCAAGGCGACGACGGGUAGCCGGCCUGAGAGGGUGACCGGCCACACUGGGACUGAGACACGGCCCAGACUCCUACGGGAGGCAGCAGUGGGGAAUAUUGCACAAUGGGCGCAAGCCUGAUGCAGCAACGCCGCGUGAGGGACGACGGCCUUCGGGUUGUAAACCUCUUUUAGUAGGGAAGAAGCGAAAGUGACGGUACCUGCAGAAAAGGCACCGGCUAACUACGUGCCAGCAGCCGCGGUAAUACGUAGGGUGCAAGCGUUAUCCGGAAUUAUUGGGCGUAAAGAGCUCGUAGGCGG